UGUAUUUCUUUGUGUUGUAAAUAUACCAAUUACGAGUAAUGUACCAAUAACGAAACGAAUCAAAACAUGUAUCAACAUGGGUAUUUGUUUUCAUUAUUAUAUACAACCGUUACCUACUGUAUACAUACAACACCCGCACGCCGCAAGGUACAAAAACCUGUUGUAAUGUUGGUUGUAUCCAUCUCCAACCAAGCAAUUCCUGGUGUAACCACAGGAAAAGAUUUUGAGGCCUUCACAACGACCAGGAGCCAGCAUACAGUAUGAAAGACCUGAAUCCAACAAAAACGAAAGAUCAUAUAAACUAAUACAAGUAGGGUUCAUCUGUAUACCGUUCAUGGCUCAUUUAAGAAGUGGUACAGGUGAAACUCAUUUAGUAAAAUCAGUGUUUGCAAUUGUACUAAAAGGUUGUUCUUGGGACACCCUGUUGAAACCCCGAAUCGGUUCAACCAUUACCUCAACUGCUGUCACUCAACUACUUCAGAAUCUCUCACAAACUGGAUCUUCUUCUUUGAUCUCUUGGAAUUUCUUCAAAUGGGUCGAGUUAAACCCUGAUUACAAGCACUCAUUACAAUCAUCUUGGACCAUGAUUCAUAUUCUAACAAAACAAAGACAUUUUAAAAGUGCACACCAACUGCUCGACAAAAUUGCUCUGAGAGACUUUUUAUCUUCACCCACGGUUUUGAAUGCGUUGGCGACUAACACUGAUGAUCAAGAUGUGAAUUCUCAUGUUUUGAGCUGGUUAGUGAUAUUCUACGCGAAUUCGAAGAUGACCCAUGAUGCAAUUCAAGUCUUUGAGCAUAUGAGGGUUCAUGGUUUAACACCACAUUUGCCUGCUUGCACUGUUCUGUUGAAUAUGUUGGUUAAAGAGAGGCUGACUGAUACAGUGUGGAAGUUUUAUAAGAAAAUGGUUAAGAUCGGGGUGGUUCCAAAUCUGCAUAUAUACAAUGUCUUGAUUCAUGCUUGUUGCAAGUCUUUGGAUGUGGAGAAAGCAGAAGAAUUGUUGAGUGAAAUGGAGUUUAAAUCUGUUUCUCCUGAUCUUUUCACUUACAAUACGUUGAUAUCGUUGUAUUGCAAGAAAGGUAUGCAUUACGAGGCUUUGUGUAUUCAAGAUAGAAUGGACAAAUCAGGUAUUCAUCCCGACAUUAUAACGUAUAAUUCAUUGAUUCAUGGGUACUGUAAACAAGGUCGAAUGAGGGAAGCGUUAAGAAUGUUCAAGGAAAUUAAAGGCGUUACUCCGAAUCAUGUUACGUACACGACUUUGAUCGAUGGUUAUUGUAGAGUGAACAGUUACAGUGAAGCGAUGUGCUUGCGUGAGGAAAUGGAAGCUAAAGGCUUGUGUCCCGGCACGGUUACUUAUAACACGAUUUUAAGAAAAUUAUGCGAAGAGGGUAGGAUAAAGGACGCUAACAAAUUGUUGAAUGAAAUGAGUGGGAGAAAGGUCGUACCCGAUAACAUCACAUGUAACACGCUCAUUAACGCUUAUUGCAAAAUCGGAGAUAUGAAAUCUGCGUUAAGAGUUAGAGGUACAAUGUUGAGUGCAGGGUUGAAGCCGGAUUCGUUUACUUACAAGGCGUUAAUUCAUGGGUUUUGUAGGGCUCGAGAUGUUGAAAAUGCUAAAGAGAUUGUUUUUUCAAUGAUUAAUGAUGGAUUUUCUCCGAAUUAUUGCACUUACUCAUGGCUGGUGGAUCUUUACUGCAACCAAAACAAUGAAGAGAUGUUGGUGAAGUUGCCCGAUGAGUUUUAUCAGAAGGGUAUAAUCGUUGAUAUUUCGGUUUAUAGGGCACUAAUCAGGAGAUUAUGCAAGGUAGAGAGAGUUGUGUAUGCCCAAAGAUUGUAUGAUAUUAUGUUGAGUAAAGGGAUAUCGGGAGAUAGUGUUGUAUUCACUAGUUUGGCGUAUGCUUACCUGAAAGAAGGUGACACAAGUAUUGGUUUGAAGAUAUUUGACGAGAUGUAUAAGAAGAGGUUGAUGAUCACGAACAAAAUUCAUAAAAGUUUCACCGCUAGUUAUGCUAGCGACAAGCACGUUUUAGGAACCUUUUGGAAUCUCGCUGUUGAAAGAGGCUUAAUUUCAAGAAGUACCUUGAAACAGAUUUAUCGGGCUGAAGAUAAUGCUUAAGAAACGUAUCCUGCAAAACUAUGGAGUUUACACUUAAAAAUGCAAGUAUUCUUAAUCAUAAAGUACACGAAUCUAAAGAGUGAAGCAGAACAGGCAACUGCCCAGGCUAAGGCCGAAGCUCAGGAAAAGACCAGUCAGCUGAUGGAGCAAGCCAGCAAUGCUGCACAGUCCGCCCAAGAGUCGAUGCAGCAGGCUGGCCAGCAAAUUAAGGAAAAGGCACAAGUAGCAACCGAGGCAGUGAAGAACGCAACCGGGAUGAACAAGUGAACCCCAUGGAUCAAGUUUUAUCAACCACCAUCGUUUCUUUUGACCAGAACCUGUUUACAAUUCUUUACAAAAUUUUAUAUUAUUUUUUAUAAUUCCGUUC